rnacentral:lncRNA from 1 species
AUGUCACAGGCCGGGGCGAGGAGGCCGUGCUCGAAGGAUUCCACACGGAGAGCAAUAGGACAGCAUGGUUUCUCCAACUGCAGCCCAUGGACCACUGCAUGGAGAGUGGCUGGGGGACUGUGGGGGACGUGGCCACAGUGCAGGUUCUCAGACCCCGCUCCAAACAUCAGACGCAGAAUGUCUCCUGGUAGGGCCUGGAAAUCGAUCGUCAUGAGCAGCCCAUCAGAGAUGCCUAGGGGAGCUAUUAGGAGAUUGGAAAGUAAUCUGGGAGUCUAUUUGGAAAAUUUCCCAAUUCUUCUGCCCUGGGAUAUUUUGUUUACUCCUUUCUUUUCAUCUCACUGGGAGUUCUCCAGCCCCUGGUACCCCUCCAGCCUCUGAACUGAUCGCACUCUAACAGAUAUCACCGACACUGCUUGCUCUCCAAUACUAG